rnacentral:rRNA from 1 species
AUGAACGCUGGCGGCGUGCCUAAUACAUGCAAGUCGAGCGAACAGACGAGGAGCUUGCUCCUCUGACGUUAGCGGCGGACGGGUGAGUAACACGUGGAUAACCUACCUAUAAGACUGGGAUGACUUCGGGAAACCGGAGCUAAUACCGGAUAAUAUAUUGAACCGCAUGGUUCAAUAGUGAAAGACGGUUUUGCUGUCACUUAUAGAUGGAUCCGCGCCGCAUUAGCUAGUUGGUAAGGUAACGGCUUACCAAGGCAACGAUGCGUAGCCGACCUGAGAGGGUGAUCGGCCACACUGGAACUGAGACACGGUCCAGACUCCUACGGGAGGCAGCAGUAGGGAAUCUUCCGCAAUGGGCGAAAGCUUGACGGAGCAACGCCGCGUGAGUGAUGAAGGUCUUCGGAUCGUAAAACUCUGUUAUUAGGGAAGAACAAAUGUGUAAGUAACUAUGCACGUCUUGACGGUACCUAAUCAGAAAGCCACGGCUAACUACGUG